AAAGCAAAGAAAAAUGAAAUUUACAUUUACAACAAGCAAUUAAACAAGUUUCAUAUAUUAAUAUUAAUUUUUACACGGCCAGACACACACUCAGCCCAGUGAAUUGUUAAAGUUAAACAAAUCAACAACAAUGACAACAAAUUGUUAAACACUGAACAAAAGUUGAAUAAUAUAAAUCUAUUAACUAUGAGAGCAAAUAGACAACACUCAACCAAAAAAAAAAAAAAGAAAUACGCUCAAUGCAUAUCAAGAAAGGUUAAGGUGAUUAUGUACUACACUUGACAAUGAAUAAUAUAUAUAAUAUAUUGAAUAAUAUAAAUCAAGCAAAAAAAGAAACACGCUCAAUGCAUAUCAAGAUAGGUUAAGGUGAUUAUGGUUAAGGUGAUUAUCUACUACACGCGUUUGUUAACCUGUCCAGAGGCGGUACCACGCCCCAUAUGGGGACGUUGCAGCUUGGCGCCCAUAAUCAAUUAUCAAUUAUCAACAUUGUUAACAUUGUUUAAUAUUUAAGAAUGUUGCGUUUACAAAAAUGAGAGCAUACGAAUUGUUGUAACACACACAAAGUUACUUUUGAACGGUACCAGAACCUGCAAGUUCAAGUUCAAGUGCUUGGCGUUCGCCUAUUAGUUGAUUGGAAAAUAAAUUAUUAAUAAGAUUUUGAAA